rnacentral:lncRNA from 1 species
UUGCUAAAUUUCUCAAUCAUAAUUUUUAAAUUUAGUUCCAUAGUCACUUUGAAUACAUAAAAGUAAUAAGCUAUUUUUAUUAAAAACUUUUUGAUAAAAAUUUGAUAAUUAUCAAGGUCUACAUGCAUCACUUGGGUUGGCUCUUCCUUGAUACUAGACUUAUCAGGGAUCUCUAUAUAGGUCGAAUAUCGGUGCAUUCCGAGGUCACCAGUUUCGAUAGCAGAUCUGCUCAGACAUUCUCUGAUCUGGAUAUUUACAAAAUCUUGAAUUUAUUGAAAGAAGAGAUUAUUUCUUGUAUCUUUUGUAGAUACUUUUGCAUGAAAGAUGCUUUCACCUUGUACUCUCCUCGAACCUGGCCAACCACCAAAUGAAAGGCACUGAGUAGCUGAAGGUGUAGAACUUCGAGCUCUUGAGCGAGCCUCAGUCUAGCUAGGAGUGCUUCAUACUCUAUUUCAUUAUUUGAAUUCUUGAAGCUGAAACAAAGGGCUUGCUCUAUUAUAAUGCUGUCGGGACUGGUGAGAAUAACCUAACCUCAUCGCCUCUGAUAUUGGAUGAUCUAUCAACAUAUAA